rnacentral:rRNA from 1 species
GGGUUGUGAGGUUAAGCGACUAAGCGUACACGGUGGAUGCCCUGGCAGUCAGAGGCGAUGAAGGACGUGCUAAUCUGCGAAAAGCGUCGGUAAGGUGAUAUGAACCGUUAUAACCGGCGAUGUCCGAAUGGGGAAACCCAGUGUGAUUCGUCACACUAUCGUUAACUGAAUACAUAGGUUAACGAGGCGAACCGGGGGAACUGAAACAUCUAAGUACCCCGAGGAAAAGAAAUCAACCGAGAUUCCCCCAGUAGCGGCGAGCGAACGGGGAGCAGCCCAGAGUCUGAAUCAGCUUGUGUGUUAGUGGAACGGUCUGGAAAGUCCGACGGUACAGGGUGAUAGUCCCGUACACCAAAAUGCACAGGCUGUGAACUCGAAGAGUAGGGCGGGACACGUGGUAUCCUGUCUGAAUAUGGGGGGACCAUCCUCCAAGGCUAAAUACUCCUGACUGACCGAUAGU